CCCUCACAUCAACACACACACAACACAACAACUCUCACCCCCACGACAUCCCCUCGCUGCCAUGGCUGCGUUUUUCAAGUUCGUCGAGCAACUUCUACGCCACCAUUGUUGCCCGUAGUUGCUUCUCCUCCUGCUGUUGCGUUUUCUUCUUCUCCAACACUGCUGCUGCUGCGUUUUUCAUCCUUCAUGUUGCUGUUGUGUCGUCCAAACAAACCACCACAACUACUGCCCUCCGCAUCCAGCCAUGGACGAGCUUCAUCGAGCUCGAACUCGAGCUCCCAUGGCUGCCGUUGCAUCUUCUCCGACACCGCUGCUGCUACUGUUUCGUGCUGCUGCUCCAGCAGUGUUGCUGCUGCUGCCUUCUGC
rnacentral:lncRNA from 1 species